rnacentral:lncRNA from 1 species
UUAACCGUGUCCAAAUUUCAAAACUUAUAAACCCUAGAUCUUCAUUUCAGAUUUGCACCAAAACAUUUCAGAUCUGCACUUAAGGAUUUUAGAUCUGCACCAAAUAAUCUCAUAUCUGCGCUAAAGGAUCACAAAUCUACACCAAAGAGUCUCAGAUCUACCUCUCGUCGUCGCUCCCGAUGAGUUUCAGCCUCUCAAGCUCUGCGAAUGGGAUCACCUGUUGUUGGAAGAAGAAGCUGUCGCAGACAGAGCCAUGAAUGGUGGAAGAAGAAGCUACCGUGGACGGAACCGUGAAUGGUGGAAGAAGAAGCUGUCGCGGACGGAGCCGUGAAUGGUAGAAGAAGAAGUUGCAAACGCUGCGACGACAUCGUUGAAGACGGUGGUUCUUGUGGUUGGUAGGUGGCGGAGAUUCUUGUGUUUGGCAGGUGACGGAAAGAAGAAGGAAAAUGAAUAUUAAGAAAGAAGAAAGAAGAAGAAAGAAGAGAAAGAGGUUUGAGAGAGGAGAAGAAAAAUAAAAAAGUGACCUUUUCACUUCCUCUGCAACUUCAAAAUAAAAAAGUGACCUUUCACUUCCUCUUCCUCUGCAACGUCACCCUUUUAACUUCCUCUACAACUUCAAAAUAAAAAAGUGACCUUCCACUUCCUCUUCCCUGCAACUUCAAAAUAAAAAAGUGACCUUUCACUUCCUCUUCCUCUGCAACGUCAGAACUUUGAAUAUUUUACUUUGAAUAAAAAAGUUGAUUCUACUGUAGAUAGUAACGUUUAAAAUUUGAAUACCAU